GGGUUGUGAGGUUAAGCGACUAAGCGUACACGGUGGAUGCCCUGGCAGUCAGAGGCGAUGAAGGACGUGCUAAUCUGCGAAAAGCGUCGGUAAGGUGAUAUGAACCGUUAUAGCCGGCGAUGUCCGAAUGGGGAAACCCAGUGCAAUUCGUUGCACUAUCGUUAACUGAAUACAUAGGUUAACGAGGCGAACCGGGGGAACUGAAACAUCUAAGUACCCCGAGGAAAAGAAAUCAACCGAGAUUCCCCCAGUAGCGGCGAGCGAACGGGGAGCAGCCCAGAGUCUGAAUCAGCUUGUGUGUUAGUGGAACGGUCUGGAAAGUCCGACGGUACAGGGUGAUAGUCCCGUACACCAAAAUGCACAGGCUGUGAACUCGAAGAGUAGGGCGGGACACGUGGUAUCCUGUCUGAAUAUGGGGGGACCAUCCUCCAAGGCUAAAUACUCCUGACUGACCGAUAGUGAACCAGUACCGUGAGGGAAAGGCGAAAAGAACCCCGGCGAGGGGAGUGAAAAAGAACCUGAAACCGUGUACGUACAAGCAGUGGGAGCACCUUCGGGUGUGACUGCGUACCUUUUGUAUAAUGGGUCAGCGACUUAUAUUCUGUAGCAAGGUUAACCGUAUAGGGGAGCCGCAGGGAAACCGAGUCUUAACUGGGCGUUAAGUUGCAGGGUAUAGACCCGAAACCCGGUGAUCUAGCCAUGGGCAGGUUGAAGGUUGGGUAACACUAACUGGAGGACCGAACCGACUAAUGUUGAAAAAUUAGCGGAUGACUUGUGGCUGGGGGUGAAAGGCCAAUCAAACCGGGAGAUAGCUGGUUCUCCCCGAAAGCUAUUUAGGUAGCGCCUCGUGAAUUCAUCUUCGGGGGUAGAGCACUGUUUCGGCUAGGGGGUCAUCCCGACUUACCAACCCGAUGCAAACUACGAAUACCGAAGAAUGUUAUCACGGGAGACACACGGCGGGUGCUAACGUCCGUCGUGAAGAGGGAAACAACCCAGACCGCCAGCUAAGGUCCCAAAGUCAUGGUUAAGUGGGAAACGAUGUGGGAAGGCACAGACAGCCAGGAUGUUGGCUUAGAAGCAGCCAUCAUUUAAAGAAAGCGUAAUAGCUCACUGGUCGAGUCGGCCUGCGCGGAAGAUGUAACGGGGCUAAACCAUGCACCGAAGCUGCGGCAGCGACACUAUGUGUUGUUGGGUAGGGGAGCGUUCUGUAAGCCUGCGAAGGUGACCUGUGAGGGUUGCUGGAGGUAUCAGAAGUGCGAAUGCUGACAUAAGUAACGAUAAAGCGGGUGAAAAGCCCGCUCGCCGGAAGACCAAGGGUUCCUGUCCAACGUUAAUCGGGGCAGGGUGAGUCGACCCCUAAGGCGAGGCCGAAAGGCGUAGUCGAUGGGAAACAGGUUAAUAUUCCUGUACUUGGUGUUACUGCGAAGGGGGGACGGAGAAGGCUAUGUUAGCCGGGCGACGGUUGUCCCGGUUUAAGCAUGUAGGCUGGUUAUCCAGGCAAAUCCGGAUAAUCAAGGCUGAGGUGUGAUGACGAGGCACUACGGUGCUGAAGUAACAAAUGCCCUGCUUCCAGGAAAAGCCUCUAAGCAUCAGGUAACAUCAAAUCGUACCCCAAACCGACACAGGUGGUCAGGUAGAGAAUACCAAGGCGCUUGAGAGAACUCGGGUGAAGGAACUAGGCAAAAUGGUGCCGUAACUUCGGGAGAAGGCACGCUGGUGUGUAGGUGAAGUCCCUGCGGAUGGAGCUGAGACCAGUCGAAGAUACCAGCUGGCUGCAACUGUUUAUUAAAAACACAGCACUGUGCAAACACGAAAGUGGACGUAUACGGUGUGACGCCUGCCCGGUGCCGGAAGGUUAAUUGAUGGGGUUAUCCGUAAGGAGAAGCUCUUGAUCGAAGCCCCGGUAAACGGCGGCCGUAACUAUAACGGUCCUAAGGUAGCGAAAUUCCUUGUCGGGUAAGUUCCGACCUGCACGAAUGGCGUAAUGAUGGCCAGGCUGUCUCCACCCGAGACUCAGUGAAAUUGAACUCGCUGUGAAGAUGCAGUGUACCCGCGGCAAGACGGAAAGACCCCGUGAACCUUUACUAUAGCUUGACACUGAACAUUGAGCCUUGAUGUGUAGGAUAGGUGGGAGGCUUUGAAGCGUGGACGCCAGUCUGCGUGGAGCCAACCUUGAAAUACCACCCUUUAAUGUUUGAUGUUCUAACGUUGGCCCCU
rnacentral:rRNA from 1 species